rnacentral:rRNA from 1 species
AAUAGAUACCCAGGUAGUCCACGCCGUAAACGAUGGAUGCUAGCUGUUAUGCGUAUCGACCCGUGUAGUAGCGAAGCUAACGCGUUAAGCAUCCCGCCUGGGGAGUACGAACGCAAGUUUAAAACUCAAAGGAAUUGACGGGGACCCGCACAAGCGGUGGAGCGUGUUCUUUAAUUCGAGGCUAAGCGAAGAACCUUACCAGGGCUUGACAUCCUUGGAAUUUCUCCGAAAGGAGAGAGUACUUUAUUGGACCAAGUGACAGGUGCUGCAUGGCCGUCGUCAGCUCGUGUCGUGAGAUGUUUGGUUAAGUCCAUUAACGAGCGCAACCCUUAUGAAUAGUUGUAUUUUUCUAUUCAGACUGCCCCGGUAACGGGGAGGAAGGGGGGAUGAUGUCAGGUCAGUAUUGCCCUUACGCCCUGGGCUAGAAACGCGCUACAAUGGCCGGUACAAUGCGCUGCCAACCCGCGAGGGGGAGCAAAUCGCAUCAAAGCCGGUCCCAGUUCGGAUAAGAGGCUGAAACUCGCCUCUUUGAAGCCGGAAUCGCUAGUAAUCGU